rnacentral:rRNA from 1 species
CGGAUGAACGCUGGCGGCAGGCCUAGCACAUGCAAGUCUAGCGGCAGCGGAAAGUAGCUUGCUACUUUGCCGGCGAGCGGCGGACGGGUGAGUAAUGUCUGGGAAACUGCCUGAUGGAGGGGGAUAACUACUGGAAACGGUAGCUAAUACCGCAUAACGUCGCAAGACCAAAGAGGGGGACCUUCGGGCCUCUUGCCAUCAGAUGUGCCCAGAUGGGAUUAGCUAGUAGGUGGGGUAACGGCUCACCUAGGCGACGAUCCCUAGCUGGUCUGAGAGGAUGACCAGCCACACUGGAACUGAGACACGGUCCAGACUCCUACGGGAGGCAGCAGUGGGGAAUAUUGCACAAUGGGCGCAAGCCUGAUGCAGCCAUGCCGCGUGUAUGAAGAAGGCCUUCGGGUUGUAAAGUACUUUCAGCGGGGAGGAAGGCGGUGAGGUUAAUAACCUCAGCAAUUGACGUUACCCGCAGAAGAAAGCACCGGCUAACUCCGUGCCAGCAGCCGCGGUAAUACGGAGGGGUGCAAGCGUUAAUCGAAAUUACUGGGCGUAAAGUACACGCGGGCGGUCUGUCAAGUCGGAUGUGAAAUCCCCGGGCUCAGCCUGGGAACUGGCUUUCAAAAACUGGCAGGCUAGAUCUUUGUAGAGGGGGGUAAAAUCC